rnacentral:tRNA from 1 species
UGCAGAAUGGCGUGGACUUGGUAACACACUUCCCUCAUAAGGAAGGAUAUGUCGGUUCAAAUCCGACUUCUGCAA